rnacentral:rRNA from 1 species
ACGAACGCUGGCGGCGUGCUUAACACAUGCAAGUCGAACGGAAAGGCCCCUUUGGGGGUACUCGAGUGGCGACCGGGUGAGUAACACGUGAGUAACCUGCCCUUGACUUCGGGAUAACUUCAGGAAACUGGGGCUAAUACCGGAUAGGAAUCCUUGCUGCAUGGUGGGGGUUGGAAAGCUUCGGCGGUUUUGGAUGGACUCGCGGCUUAUCAGCUUGUUGGUGGGGUAGUGGCUUGCCAAGGCUUUGACGGGUAGCCGGCCUGAGAGGGCGACCGGCCACAUUGGGACUGAGAUACGGCCCAGACUCCUACGGGAGGCAGCAGUGGGGAAUAUUGCACAAUGGGCGGAAGCCUGAUGCAGCAACGCCGCGUGCGGGAUGACGGCCUUCGGGUUGUAAACCGCUUUCAGCAGGGGCGAAGCUUGUGGUGACGGUACCUGCAGAAGAAGCACCGGCUAACUACGUG